rnacentral:lncRNA from 1 species
AGACAAGAGGGGUUGCUCUGAUGAUAAGCAACCCCCACUUUCAACCUAGAGGUUGUGAGUUCGAGUCUCCCCAAGAGCAAGGUGGAAAGUUCUUGGAGGAAGGAUGCCGGGGGUCUAUUUGGAAACAGCCUCUCUACCCAAGGGUAGGGGUAAGGUCUGCGUACAUACUACCUCCCCAGACCCCACUAAGUGGGAUUAUAC